rnacentral:rRNA from 1 species
UGCAAGUCGAACGGAAAGGCCCUUUCGGGGGUGCUCGAGUGGCGAACGGGUGAGUAACACGUGGGUGAUCUGCCCUGCACUUUGGGAUAAGCCUGGGAAACUGGGUCUAAUACCGAAUACACCUCGCUGGCUGCAUGGCCUGGUGGGGGAAAGCUUUUGCGGUGUGGGAUGGGCCCGCGGCCUAUCAGCUUGUUGGUGGGGUGAUGGCCUACCAAGGCGACGACGGGUAGCCGGCCUGAGAGGGUGUCCGGCCACACUGGGACUGAGAUACGGCCCAGACUCCUACGGGAGGCAGCAGUGGGGAAUAUUGCACAAUGGGCGCAAGCCUGAUGCAGCGACGCCGCGUGAGGGAUGACGGCCUUCGGGUUGUAAACCUCUUUCAGCAUCGACGAAGCGCAAGUGACGGUAGAUGCAGAAGAAGCACCGGCCAACUACGUGCCAGCAGCCGCGGUAAUACGUAGGGUGCGAGCGUUGUCCGGAAUUACUGGGCGUAAAGAGCUCGUAGGUGGUUUGUCGCGUUGUCCGUGAAAACUCACAGCUUAACUGUGGGCGUGCGGGCGAUACGGGCAGACUGGAGUACUGCAGGGGAGACUGGAAUUCCUGGUGUAGCGGUGGAAUGCGCAGAUAUCAGGAGGAACACCGGUGGCGAAGGCGGGUCUCUGGGCAGUAACUGACGCUGAGGAGCGAAAGCGUGGGGAGCGAACAGGAUUAGAUACCCUGGUAGUCCACGCCGUAAACGGUGGGUACUAGGUGUGGGUUUCCUUCCUUGGGAUCCGUGCCGUAGCUAACGCAUUAAGUACCCCGCCUGGGGAGUACGGCCGCAAGGCUAAAACUCAAAGGAAUUGACGGGGGCCCGCACAAGCGGCGGAGCAUGUGGAUUAAUUCGAUGCAACGCGAAGAACCUUACCUGGGUUUGACAUGCACAGGACGCCGGCAGAGAUGUCGGUUCCCUUGUGGCCUGUGUGCAGGUGGUGCAUGGCUGUCGUCAGCUCGUGUCGUGAGAUGUUGGGUUAAGUCCCGCAACGAGCGCAACCCUUGUCUCAUGUUGCCAGCACGUUAUGGUGGGGACUCGUGAGAGACUGCCGGGGUCAACUCGGAGGAAGGUGGGGAUGACGUCAAGUCAUCAUGCCCCUUAUGUCCAGGGCUUCACACAUGCUACAAUGGCCGGUACAAAGGGCUGCGAUGCCGUGAGGUGGAGCGAAUCCUUUCAAAGCCGGUCUCAGUUCGGAUCGGGGUCUGCAACUCGACCCCGUGAAGUCGGAGUCGCU